rnacentral:rRNA from 1 species
GGUUAAGUGACUAAGCGUACAUGGUGGAUGCCUUGGCAGUCAGAGGCGAUGAAGGACGUACUAACCUGCGAUAAGCUGUGAGAAGUCGGUAAGAGACGCUAUUACUCACAGAUUUCCG